rnacentral:lncRNA from 1 species
CUAGAUUUAGGUCAUAGAAGAGGACGAUACCGUAAUUUUCCUUUUAUAGCUCAUGUUAAUUUGCUUGUUCACUGGUCAUAUUCAUAUUCAGGUAUUGUAAGGAAUAAAAGGAGGGCUCUGUAUGUUGUAUUGGGCCCUGGUAAUAAUCGAUAGGCUCGCAGGCAAACAGUGAUGCUAGCCAUCUCAAUUUUCAAAUAAGUUUGUUCCUCCCUUAUUUGACGAACAUCGGCCACUUUCCCUUUCUUUUCUGAAACUUGGGUCACGCAUAUGACUUUUAAACACUUAGCAACACAUGAGUCCCUCCUCGUAUGAUGUGGAUGUCCACAAAGAGGGAUGUCUAGACACUCAUUGACGGUGCAGCACCUUUGCGCACUCGUCGGCUGGAGCUAUUUUCGGAUACUCCCCA